UGAUACAUAAGAGAGAUUUAGAGCAAGAAGGCAGAGCUAAGUGCUAAGACAGAGGCGGAUAAACAGAGAGAGAGAGGAAAGCGGUGUCCUGUAGGAGCCAGGCUGGCUGUCCAGGCAGAGCCUUGCAAAGGGACAGAAAUGUGAUGAGAUCACUGUGGUUUGGCAUCUUCCGCACAGAUUUUCCAGCUGAGAGAUUGCAUUUUGCUGAAGUGCACUUAAGUGAUCAGACUCCGAGGUUCUCAACCCUGCCCAUCAAACCUUCCAGCCGUGGAAGUAGAAGCCAGGCUCUAUCCUUACUGAUGUAUGAGAAAUACGCUUCCUAGGAGACUCAUGUCUAAUGUUGGUCGAGUCUCCCCUUUUAGUGACAGGUAUUGGGGAAGCUAGAUUAUAAUUACAAGCUGUUCCGUGAGUGUAGAAGCAGGUUGAAGAGAAAAUUGAAGAAUCUUAAAACUUAGUGCAACUCGGUUACGUCUCCUCUGGGUUUCAUGUGCAUUUCCUGUUACCUAGGACACCACCAAGUGCAAGAAACACCAUCAUUUUAUGAACCACCAAGAACCAGGAGGACGAAGAGCAGGGAAAAUGCUGUCAUGACAUGAGGAUUCUUCUUGUCCCCAAGUGUUCAAGAACUUUGCCAAGAUCCAAGCAACAGCUGAUAAUGAUCAAGAAUGUCUUCUAUGCGGAAGCCAGGGCUCAGAGAAGUUAAUCAUCUUGUCAACGUCCCAUAACCGAAAAUAGUGAACAGUUGGCAGGCUCAGCUUCCCCCACUGGAUCCGAUGCUCCUUGAGGAAGACGAGCUCUGAGAAGGAACCAGACCUGGCCUAAGGCCUCGAGGGCAGCUGAGGGGCAGAGGCGGGCUAGGUGGACACCAGGAAGGCAUUCACUUUGGGCAAAAAAUUUAAGUAUGCACCAACAAACUCAGAA